rnacentral:lncRNA from 1 species
GCGCGCACACGCUCACACGCUCACAAGCGAACGCAGGAAAGUCGGGCUAAAAGUGUCUGCUGCUGCUGCUGCCGCCCCCUACUCCGCCUCCGGGAGAGGAAAAAAGGAAAAUUUGCUUUUCUUCAAAGACCUCUCAGAGGAUGUACAGGAAAAUGUGGCUGAUAAAGAAGAUACAUCCGGUCUUCCUUUGUUGGGGAAUUUAUAGGAGGUAGAGUCUCAGCUGUCACGCCGCUAGUAACUGAUAAUGUAAAAUACGAUGUUAUGUGAAGAAUUACAGAGGAUC